CCCACAGAAAGAAGACAGACUGGCGGCCCAGGCAGGAAUCGCGAGCCCCGGUCUGCCUGGCCCGGGCCCCAUCCCACAAGGAACAUUUACUCCAGCUGCCGAGGGAGACAGAAGAGCUGCGUGGUCUCAUUCUGCUUCACCCGCGAGUCGGAGCACCUGUGGCCCUUACAGGGCCCACACCUGCGGGUCACGGGUGUGCAAGCCGACGUGCCAGGCUGAGCUCCCCGGGAAGGUUUCUGGCUGACAAAGGAAGGGGUUCAGGAGGAGGCGACCACACUCUCCAUCCAUUUCUGCUGCAAACGCAUCCUCCGCUCCAGGACUGCUCAGGGGCAACAAUGAAGGAGGUUACCGUGGUUCUCUGAUUUAUGACACACGGGUGUCGGGCCGAGUUUCCACGAUGCACCCGCGUCUUACAGACCGAACUCUAUUGCAGCCUGGUCAUGGCAUUCGGAGCCUGCGCUGAACUCUGCUGACCGGAAGCAGUUUUCUAGCAUAGGCCUCAUUUGCGGGGCUAUAAUGCUCAGCUCCACAAGGAGUGCAUGACAGUGACCCUGGCGAUGAGUUGGGAUGUGUAUACGUUUGGUUUUGACAUCCAAGGAAUGAAAUGGGUGCCUUUCCUGCCCUUCUGUGGACAUGAGCCAUCACAGGCGCCCACUUCCAUAGAAUAACCCUCCCCCCUUUUAUGGCUCCUGAUAGUUUUACCGUAUUUCUUUGCUGUCAAGGCCGCGCUGGACCACAGACAUCACGGCCACCACCACCAUCACAUCCACCGUCACCGCCAAGGUUUGCACCCGUAUCUGCCUCCAGGUCACUCCCAAGGAUCUGCUCCCAGGAAUAACCCGGUUGCUCCAUCUCUUGGUUCGAAUGCUGACUUUGCCUCCAAGUGACCGUGUGGUUUCCAGGAGGUCACCCUGUCCAUUCUGGCUGCCCAGGUAGCCAUCUCUCGACUCAGGACCCUGCAGGAGGUGAUGCUUAACGUUUCUUCCAGCUAGAACUACCUGUGCCCAUCAUUUGCCAAAGUGACAUUUAUAAAAUACCUGAAGGCUACAUGGCAGCCUCAGCAGGAAGAAUUAUAUUUCCUGUGAAACACAGGGCGGUAAACAUGUAAAAAUCGACACCACGCCGCAUGUGCAUGCACAAACGCAAGUAAUAGAGAGGGUUCCCACUUUAAAAUGUUCUUUCAGGGAUGCCGUGGGCGGGGGUGUAAGUGGAUAACAGUCCGACUCUUGAUUUUGGUUCAAGUCAUGAUCUCAAAGUUCGUGGGUUCAAGCCCCAC